CGGUCACCGCGACUGGUCGGGAUGGGUUUUAACCCGGUGUUUCUGGGCCUGAUGGGAUCUCCAGAACGGCACGCCACCUCCCCGUCACUCCUAAGCGAUUAAUAAGGAAUAUUUAUAUAAGACAGAAGAAAAAGAUGUCGUUCCGUAAAGUAAACAUCGUCAUCUUGGUCCUGGCUGUUGUCCUCUUUUUACUGGUUUUGCACCAUAACUUCCUCAGCCUAAGCAGUUUGCUAAGGAAUGAAGUUUCAGAUUCAGGAAUUCUGGGACUUCAGCCCAUAGACUUUGUCCCAAAUGCUCCCCAACAUGCAGUAGAUGGGAGAGAAGAGGAGAUUCCUGUGGUCAUUGCUGCAUCUGAAGACAGGCUUGGGGGGGCCAUUGCAGCCAUUAAUAGCAUUCAACAUAACACUCAUUCCAACGUGAUUUUCCACAUUGUUACACUUAACAGUACAGCAGACCAUCUCCGGUCCUGGCUUAACAGUGGUUCCCUGAAAAGCAUCAGGUACAAAAUUGUGAAUUUUGACACUAAACUUUUGGAAGGGAAAGUAAAAGAGGAUCCUGACCAGGGAGAGUCCAUGAAACCAUUAACCUUUGCAAGGUUCUACUUGCCAAUUCUGGUUCCCAGUGCAAAGAAAGCCAUAUACAUGGAUGAUGAUGUAAUUGUACAAGGUGAUAUCCUUGCCUUGUACAAUACACCACUAAAACCAGGACACGCUGCUGCAUUCUCAGAAGAUUGUGAUUCAACCUCUGCUAAAGUUGUCAUCCGUGGAGCAGGGAACCAGUACAAUUACAUUGGCUACCUUGACUACAAAAAGGAAAGAAUUCGUAAGCUUUCCAUGAAAGCCAGUACCUGCUCUUUUAAUCCUGGAGUUUUUGUUGCAAACCUGACAGAAUGGAAGCGACAGAAUAUAACUAAUCAGUUGGAAAAAUGGAUGAAACUCAAUGUAGAAGAGGGAUUGUAUAGCAGAACACUGGCUGGCAGCAUCACAACGCCUCCUCUGCUUAUUGUGUUUUAUCAACAGCACUCCACCAUUGACCCUAUGUGGAAUGUCCGCCACCUUGGUUCCAGUGCUGGAAAACGAUAUUCACCACAGUUUGUAAAGGCUGCCAAGUUACUUCAUUGGAAUGGACACUUUAAGCCAUGGGGAAGAACUGCUUCAUAUACUGAUGUUUGGGAAAAAUGGUAUAUUCCAGAUCCAACAGGCAAAUUCAAUCUAAUCAGAAGACAUUCAGAAAUCUCAAAUAUAAAGUAAAACAGAAUUUAAGCUAUAAACAUUUCUCAGGAAAUCCUGGAAGACACUAUACGCGUGGGAAGUGAAGUAACAGUUGCUAGCCUUCAAGGACUAUCUAUAGCAACCAACAGAAAAAGGGAUGUUUCAGCUGGGGGACAACCUGCAUGCUCCUGAAAGAAGAGAAAUGGGACUAACAGUUAUGGAGGCGCACUGUGGUUUACCUGCAAGCCAAGAGACAGAACAUGAAGCUCAGGGUUGGAUUGAACAAAUUCAACACAGUGAGUCAGACACAAUUUAUCAUCAUUUGCUUCAUGUUUGUCUACGAUCACAACAGUCACCUCGAAAAAAAGAAACUAUGCCACCUACCCAAACUAUGUUCUGCUGUACGUAUUCUUUCUUCUACCUGGCCAAUUUCUACUCAUUUCACAAAGUCAAGUUCAAAUGUCACUGUCUCUAAGGCAGCCUUCUCUCUUUUAUGUGAGUGGUGCUGGGGAUUGAACCCAGGGUCACACACAUGCUAGGCAAGCCCUCUACCACUUGAGCCACACCCCACCCUUUCUAUUUUUAUUUUUAAUUUGUCUUUCAAACUGAAAUAUAGGCAGCUGUCCCACUCUAUAAUCAAGCUCCCAAGUCUCCCACUGGCUUAGCCCUCUUCCUUUCUUUAAAGAAAGAAUAAAAACUUGCCUUCCUCAAAUUAUCAAAAAUAAAACCUAUUUAUACUCAUCUAUGAUAUUCUAAUUAUUGAACAGCUC